CAGAUCAGCAGAGAUGGCAGAAGCUUCCGUGGCUGUUGAGUUACAGGUGUGUCUGCAGGGAGGACUUUCCCAGGUCCAUUGGUGGAUGUUGCACGCAGGCCCAGCUCCCAUGGCAGGGGUCUCCUGAGAUUGGAGAACAAACUUAGAGGAGAGAGUAAGUUCCUGGAGGCAUCCAAACACAUGGAGAAGAUGCUGAGUGAUCUGGAGAGAAGACAAGAAGUGGAUGCAGAGGCUGGGCAGAAGGCGGCAUUUCCCGAAGGAAGCAGUGGCUCCAUGACAGCCUCUGCUGUAGGACUGGAGGCGAUGCCAGGCACAAGCACAGGAGGAUGGGAUAAAGACAUGGAUUAUCUGGAAAACCUGCUGGAUUAUGGCUUGAGAUUCAUGGGAAAUCCUGGAGGCAAGUGCUCAAUGUACCUUUCCUGAGAGAAUACACAGUGACCAGGUGGCAAGAGCUCAUAUAUUUGCCCUUUCACUUAAGAUCAUCUGAAGGUUGAUGGAAUACGGAAAAUUUGCCCUGCUCCGUUCUGGAGCCCUGAGGGAUCCCACAGGAUCACUGUCAGUGGGAGGAAGGAGCAUU